rnacentral:rRNA from 1 species
GACGAACGCUGGCGGCGUGCUUAACACAUGCAAGUCGAACGGAAAGGCCCUGCUUUUGGGGUGUGCUCGAGUGGCGAGGGGGUGUAAAACACGUGAGUUACCUGCCCUUCACUUUGGUAUGACUUCAGGAAACUGGGGCUUAUUCCGGAUAGGAGUUCCUGCUGUAGGGUGGGGGUUGGAAAGUUUUGGCGGUUGGGGAUGGACUCGCGGCUUAUCAGCUUGUUGGUGGGGUUGUGGUUUACCAAGGCCUUGACGGGUAGCCGGCCUGAGAGGGUGAGCGGCCACAUUGGGACUGAGAUACGGCCCAGACUCCUACGGGAGGCAGCAGUGGGGAAUAUUGCACAAUGGGCGGAAGCCUGGUGCAGCAACGCCGCGUGCGGGAUGACGGCCGUCGGGUUGUAAACCGCUUUCGCCUGUGACGAAGCGUGAGUGACGGUAAUGGGUAAAGAAGCACCGGCUAACUACGUG